rnacentral:rRNA from 2 species
AGUGGCAGACGGGUGAGUAAUGUAUAGGAAUCUACCUAGUAGUACGGAAUAAUUGUUGGAAACGGCAACUAAUACCGUAUACGCCCUACGGGGGAAAAAUUUAUCGCUAUUAGAUGAGCCUAUAUUAGAUUAGUUAGUUGGUGAGGUAAAGGCUUACCAAGACAAUGAUCUAUAGCUGAUCUGAGAGGAUGAUCAGCCACACUGGAACUGAGAUACGGUCCAGACUCCUACGGGAGGCAGCAGUGGGGAAUAUUGGACAAUGGGCGAAAGCCUGAUCCAGCCAUGCCGCAUGAGUGAAGAAGGCCUUCGGGUUGUAAAGCUCUUUUAGUGAGGAAGAUAAUGACGGUACUCACAGAAGAAGUCCUGGCUAACUCCGUGCCAGCAGCCGCGGUAAUACGGAGAGGGCUAGCGUUAUUCGGAAUCAUUGGGCGUAAAGGGCGCGUAGGCGGGUUAGUAAGUUAAAAGUGAAAUCCCAAGGCUCAACCUUGGAACUGCUUUUAAAACUGCUAGUCUAGAGAUUGAAAGAGGAUAGAGGAAUUCCUAGUGUAGAGAUGAAAUUCGUAAAUAUUANGAGGAACACCAGUGGCGAAGGCGUCUAUCUGGUUCAAAUCUGACGCUGAGGCGCGAA